GACGAACGCUGGCGGCGUGCUUAACACAUGCAAGUCGAACGGAAAGGCCCUGCUUUUGUGGGGUGCUCGAGUGGCGAACGGGUGAGUAACACGUGAGUAACCUGCCCUUGACUUUGGGAUAACUUCAGGAAACUGGGGCUAAUACCGGAUAGGAGCUCCUGCUGCAUGGUGGGGGUUGGAAAGUUUCGGCGGUUGGGGAUGGACUCGCGGCUUAUCAGCUUGUUGGUGGGGUAGUGGCUUACCAAGGCUUUGACGGGUAGCCGGCCUGAGAGGGUGACCGGCCACAUUGGGACUGCGAUACGGCCCAGACUCCUACGGGAGGCAGCAGUGGGGAAUAUUGCACAAUGGGCGGAAGCCUGAUGCAGCAACGCCGCGUGCGAGAUGACGGCCUUCGGGUUGUAAACCGCUUUCGCCUGUGACGAAGCGUGAGUGACGGUAAUGGGUAAAGAAGCACCGGCUAACUACGUG
rnacentral:rRNA from 1 species